GACGAACGCUGGCGGCGUGCUUAACACAUGCAAGUCGAACGGAAAGGCCUCUUUCGGGGGGUACUCGAGUGGCGAACGGGUGAGUAACACGUGAGUAACCUGCCCUUUACUUUGGGAUAACUUCAGGAAACUGGGGCUAAUACCGGAUAGGAGCUCCUGCUGCAUGGGGGGGGGUGGAAAGUUUCUGCGGGUGGGGAUGGACUCGCGGCUUAUCAGCUUGUUGGUGGGGUAGUGGCUUACCAAGGGUUUGACGGGUAGCCGGGCUGAGAGGGUGACCGGCCACAUUGGGACUGGGAUACGGCCCAGACUCCCACGGGGGGGAGCAGUGGGGAAUAUUGCACAAUGGGUGGGAGCCUGAUGCAGCAAAGCCGUGUGCGGGAUGACGGGCUUCGGGUUGUAAACCGCUUUCGCUCAUGACGAAGCUUUGUGUGACGGUAGUGGGUAAAGAAGCACCGGCUAACUACGUG
rnacentral:rRNA from 1 species